rnacentral:rRNA from 1 species
AGUGAACGCUGGCGGUAGGCCUAACACAUGCAAGUCGAACGGCAGCACAGUAAGAGCUUGCUCUUACGGGUGGCGAGUGGCGGACGGGUGAGGAAUACAUCGGAAUCUACUUUUUCGUGGGGGAUAACGUAGGGAAACUUACGCUAAUACCGCAUACGACCUACGGGCGAAAGCAGGGGAUCUUCGGACCUUGCGCGAUUGAAUGAGCCGAUGUCGGAUUAGCUAGUUGGCGGGGUAAAGGCCCACCAAGGCGACGAUCCGUAGCUGGUCUGAGAGGAUGAUCAGCCACACUGGAACUGAGACACGGUCCAGACUCCUACGGGAGGCAGCAGUGGGGAAUAUUGGACAAUGGGCGCAAGCCUGAUCCAGCCAUACCGCGUGGGUGAAGAAGGCCUUCGGGUUGUAAAGCCCUUUUGUUGGGAAAGAAAAGCAGCAGGUUAAUACCCCGCUGUUCUGACGGUACCCAAAGAGUAAGCACCGGCUAACUUCGUG